rnacentral:rRNA from 1 species
CACGUAGGGGGGCGAGCGUUGUCCGGAUUCAUUGGGCGUAAAGGGCGCGCAGGCGGCCCGGAAAGUCGGAUGUGAAAACUCGAGGCUCAACCUCGAGCGUGCACCCGAUACUGCCGGGCUUGAGGCAGGUAGGGGAGAUCGGAAUUCCUGGUGUAGCGGUGAAAUGCGCAGAGAUCCGGAGGAACACCAGCGGCGAAGGCGGCAUCCUGGACUGGUACUGACGCUCAUGAGCGAAAGCGUGGGGAGCGAGUCCGG